rnacentral:rRNA from 1 species
AUUGAACGCUGGCGGCAGGCCUAACACAUGCAAGUCGAACGGUAACAGGAAGCAGCUUGCUGCUUCGCUGACGAGUGGCGGACGGGUGAGUAAUGUCUGGGAAGCUGCCUGAUGGAGGGGGAUAACUACUGGAAACGGUAGCUAAUACCGCAUAAUGUCGCAAGACCAAAGAGGGGGACCUUCGGGCCUCUUGCCCUCGGAUGUGCCCAGAUGGGAUUAGCUUGUUGGUGGGGUAACGGCUCACCAAGGCGACGAUCCCUAGCUGGUCUGAGAGGAUGACCAGCCACACUGGAACUGAGACACGGUCCAGACUCCUAAGGGAGGCAGCAGUGGGGAAUAUUGCACAAUGGGCGCAAGCCUGAUGCAGCCAUGCCGCGUGUAUGAAGAAGGCCUUCGGGUUGUAAAGUACUUUCAGCGGGGAGGAAGGGAGUAAAGUUAAUACCUUUGCUCAUUGACGUUACCCGCAGAAGAAGCACCGGCUAACUCCGUG